UGCCAGACUCCUACGGGAGGCAGCAGUAGGGAAUUUUGCGCAAUGUGGGAAACCCUGACGCAGCAACGCCGCGUGAUUGAUGAAGCCCUUCGGGGUGUAAAGAUCUGUCAGUGGGGACGAAACUUGACGGUACCCACAGAGGAAGCAUCGGCUAACUCCGUGCCAGCAGCCGCGGUAAUACGGAGGAUGCGAGCGUUAUCCGGAUUUAUUGGGUUUAAAGGGUGCGCAGGCGGAGGUGCAAGUCAGCGGUCAAAUUGCGGGGCUCAACCCCGUACUGCCGUUGAAACUGCAUCCCUUGAGCGCGCGAGAAGUAUGCGGAAUGCGUGGUGUAGCGGUGAAAUGCAUAGAUAUCACGCAGAACUCCGAUUGCGAAGGCAGCAUACCGGCGCGCAACUGACGCUCAUGCACGAAAGCGUGGGUAUCGAACAGGAUUAGAUACCCGUGUA
rnacentral:rRNA from 1 species